UCCAUUGUCAAUUUUCUCAUCCUCUGAACGUUGCUUUCUUUCUUCAAACAUUCAUUCAUUUCUUUUAUUUGUCUUUUCUCCUCACUCACCCUCUCUUCGUUCUUCUUGCUGAAGCACACCACCACCAUCAUGAAACCACGUGGACAGCACCACAACACCACUACAACCAUGCCAUUUUCUUCUUCUCGGCCAAGGCUAUUAUCAAGCCUUCUCCACUUCCAAUUAUUUCCAAGAAGCCAUGCACGCAACCAGCCUUCAUUCUCCCCUCUGUUUAACACAGCCGAGAGCUCCUCCAUGAAAAAAAAGGGGACAAUCACUACAAAGAGAAGGAGCCACAAUAGCAUAGGCACAUUACCACCAUCAUCUUCAUCUUCAUCUUCUCAUUUUAUGGGUACGAAUAACGGGAGCGCUUGGCGACGAAACCAAAGAACCAAAAAAGGAAGCGAGCCGACAUGGGAAAGCAAGGAUGUGUUUGGAUGAGAGUUGCAGUUUAGGAAAGAAAUUGGCUAAGGAGAUGGCGAAACCUAGAUGAUUUUUAACCCGUACGAGUCGGAGAGGAGAACUUGAAGAACAGUGGAAGACUCGAAGAAUAGAGUUAGGUGUAAGGCUAGAGCCUUGGGUUAGAGAGCUUACCAUUAUCGGUUAAAGCUUGCAUAGGAAUUUUAUGGACUUAUGUUUGAGGUUUCGGGUAGGUUCUGAUACGUUGCUUUCCGGUGUUUCCCGAUGUGGAGAUCGCAGGGGGUAUGUCAGAUUUAUAGUGUCAUUGCAUAAUGGAUUCUUUGUUGAAUCUGAUUCUUGUUAGGUUUUGUAGGUUGUGUGUUUUCGUUUUACCCUCGGGUACUUGCCUUGUUUAAGGCUUGAUGUAAAUCUAUUGUAGUUGGGAGUAUGCAUGACAUGUUUUGGAAAUACUUCGAAAAGAAAAAAAAUAAUACUCGUGUUUAUGAAUCA